GGCUCAGGAUGAACGCUAGCUACAGGCUUUAACACAUGCAAGUCGAGGGGAAACGAUAUUGGAAGCUUGCUUCUGAUAGGCGUCGACCGGCGCACGGGUGAGUAACGCGUAUCCAACCUGCCCAUCACUUGGGGACAACCUUCGUGAAAGUAAGACUAAUACCCAAUGACGUCUCUAGAAGACAUCUGAAAGAGAUUAAAGAUUUAUCGGUGAUGGAUGGGGAUGCGUCUGAUUAGCUUGUUGGCGGGGUAACGGCCACCAAGGCGACGAUCAGUAGGGGUUCUGAGAGGAAGGUCCCCCACAUUGGAACUGAGACACGGUCCAAACUCCUACGGGAGGCAGCAGUGAGGAAUAUUGGUCAAUGGACGAGAGUCUGAACCAGCCAAGUAGCGUGCAGGAUGACGGCCCUAUGGGUUGUAAACUGCUUUAUAAGGGAAUAAAGUGGGAGUCGUGACUCUUUUGCAUGUACCUUAUGAAUAAGGACCGGCUAAUUCCGUG
rnacentral:rRNA from 1 species